UGCCUGACUGACAGCACCAGCUGAGGCUGACUUCCCAGAAGCAAACUUCCCUUGCUUGGCUGAGUCCUCUGGACAAACACACCCUAAAUAAGGCUUGAGUUUAUGUGUGGACGGG